rnacentral:rRNA from 1 species
UACAGAGGUCCCAAGCGUUGUUCGGAUUCAUUGGGCGUAAAGGGUGCGUAGGCGGCGCCGUAAGUGGGGUGUGAAAUUUCGGAGCUUAACUCCGAAACUGCAUUCCAUACUGCGGUGCUUGAGGACUGGAGAGGAGACUGGAAUUUACGGUGUAGCAGUGAAAUGCGUAGAGAUCGUAAGGAAGACCAGUGGCGAAGGCGAGUCUCUGGACAGUUACUGACGCUGAGGCACGAAGGCCAGGGGAGCAAACGGG